AUGGGAGGAGGCCAAAAGGGUCUGGAGACUGCGAUCGUGUGCCUACUCGUGCUGGGGCUGGUCCUGGAGCAGGUGCAAGUAGAGGGCGUGGAUUGCGGCGCAAACCCCUUCAAAGUGGCCUGCUUCAAUUCUUGCCUUCUCGGUCCUAGUACAGUGUUCCAGUGCGCAGAUUCUGUGCUUGUCGAGUCCCCGCUAACUUGGCCUCUGCACGCAGCUCCGAUUUGA
rnacentral:rRNA from 1 species